GACAGAGGAUGCAAGCGUUAUCCGGAUUUAUUGGGCAUAAAGCGCGUCUAGGCGGUUUAGUAAGUCUGAUGUGAAAAUGCGGGGCUCAACCCCGUAUUGCGUUGGAAACUGCUAAACUAGAGUACUGGAGAGGUAGGCGGAACUACAAGUGUAGAGGUGAAAUUCGUAGAUAUUUGUAGGAAUGCCGAUGGGGAAGCCAGCCUACUGGACAGAUACUGACGCUAAAGCGCUAAAGCGUGGGUAGCAAACA
rnacentral:rRNA from 1 species